rnacentral:rRNA from 1 species
AGCGAACAUUGGCGGUAGGCUUAACACAUGCAAGUCGAACGGUAACAGGCCGCAAGGUGCUGACGAGUGGCGAACGGGUGAGUAAUGCAUCGGAACGUGCCCAGUCGUGGGGGAUAACGUAGCGAAAGCUGUGCUAAUACAGCAUACGAUCUACGGAUGAAAGCGGGGGACCGUAAGGCCACGCGCGAUUGGACAGGUCUAUGUCAGAUUAGGUAGUUGGUGGGGUAAAGGCCCACCAAGCCAACGAUCUAUAGAUGGUCUGAGAGUACGACCAGCCACACUGAGACUGAGACACGGCCCAGACUCCUACGGGAGGCAGGAGUGGGGAAUUUUGGACAAUGGGCGCAAGCCUGAUCCAGCAAUGCCGCGUGCAGGAAGAAGGCCUUCGGGUUGUAAUCUGCUUUUGUACGGAACGAAAAGGUCUGGGUUAAUACCCUGGGCCGAUGACGGUACCGUAAGAAUAAGCACCGGCUAACUACGUGCCAGCCGCCGCGGUAA